rnacentral:tRNA from 1 species
GCGCCUGUAGCUCAAAUGGAUAGAGCACUUGCCUACGGAGCAAGGGGUUGGAGGUUCGAGUCCCCCCAGGCGCG